rnacentral:misc_RNA from 1 species
UUUCCGUAGGUGAACCUGCGGAAGGAUCAUUAAAAAAUAGGACUUCCAAUGGGAGUUCAUUAAUAAUCCUACCCUUUGUGAAUUUGUUUGUUUGAAAUAAUUUUUUUUCCAAAAAAUUAUUGAAUGUCUUUCCCUGUUUUUGGUUGAAGCGUAAAGGUGGAGACCAAGCAGGGAAUGGCAAACAUUAGUUUUUUUGAAAAAAGACCUUUUUUUAAAAUUAAACUUCUUGUAUUCAUUUGUCUAAAAUUAUUUUUAUAAUAUAAAAACAACUUUUGACAAUGGAUCUCUUGGUUCUCGCAACGAUGAAGAACGCAGCAAAAUGCGAUAAGUAAUGUGAAUUGCAGAAUACGUGAAUCAUCGAAUCUUCGAACGCAUAUUGCACUUUUUUAGUUUACUAAAAAGUAUGUCUGUUUGAGUAUCAGUAAAAUAUUCUCAUAAAAAACUUUUUUGUUUUUUAUGGCUAUGAGUGUUUUACAACGAUAAACAAGUUGUUUCACUUUAAAUUCUUUGAAAUUUAAAAAUCGUUAAAACUAAUUUUAAAAUGAUUUUUUAAAAUUGGAUAAAAUUUUCCCGUAAAAAGGAAUAACCUAAACAAUUUUAAAAAAUUUAAAAUUGGUUGAUUUUUUUAAAUCCCAAAAGGAAAAAAGUAAAAAUUAACUUGAUCUCAAAUCAGAUAAGAGUACCCGCUGAACUUAAGCAUAUCAAUAAGCGGAGGAAAAGAAACUAACUAGGAUUCCCUCAGUAACGGCGAGUGAAGCGGGAAGAGCUCAAAUUUGAAAUCUUCAAGGUUCUACCUUGACGAAUUGUAGUUUAAAGAAGUGUUUUCUGUUGGAAUAGUUUGGUAUAAGUUCUUUGGAAUAGGACAUCAUGGAGGGUGAGAAUCCCGUAACGACCAUUUAUUCCAGCUCUGUGAUACACUUUCAAAGGGUCGGAUUGUUUGGGAAUGCAGUCCAAAAUGGGUGGUAAAUUUCAUCUAAAGCUAAAUAUUGGCGAGAGACCGAUAGCGAACAAGUACCGUGAGGGAAAGAUGAAAAGAACUUUGAAAAGAGAGUUAAACAGUACGUGAAAUUGUCAAAAGGGAAGCGUUUGACACCAGUGUUGUUUUCUCGAAAAUCAAUUAAAAAUGGCUUGAUUUUGUGUAAGGCGACCUUAUCAGCGUUUUGCACUCUUUUCUUGUCCUUUUUUAAUGCACUUUUCGUUUAACAAGUCAACAUCAAUUUCUUUGUUGUAAAAGAGUCAUUGGAAGGUGGCUUCUUUUCGGAGAAAGUGUUUAUAGCCUUUGGCUUCUGCAAUCGGAGUGAUUGAGGUCUGCAGCGUAGAUCCUUCGGGUUAGGUGCAUUAGUGCUAAGUUAUAGCCUUUCAUAGACAACUUGUUGACUAUGAUCAGUCAUGUAGCUUACUCGCUGAUGUUAUUGUACCUACGCUUAGGAUGUUG